GACGAACGCUGGCGGCGUGCUUAACACAUGCAAGUCGAACGGAAAGGCCUCAGCUUGCUGGGGUACUCGAGUGGCGAACGGGUGAGUAACACGUGGGUGAUCUGCCUUUCACUCUGGGAUAAGCUUGGGAAACUGGGUCUAAUACCGGAUAUGAACUGCCGUUAGUGUGGGGGUGGGAAAGUUUUUUGGGGGCAAGAUGAGCUCGCGGCCCAUCUGCUUUUUGGGGGGGGAAUGGGCUACCAAGGCGUCGGCGGGUGUCCCGGCUGGGAGGGGGUACGGCCACCUUGGGACUGGGAUACGGCCCCGACCGCUAAGGGGAGCCGGCGUGGGGGAUUUUGCCACAUGGGCGGGAGCCUGAUGCAGCGACGCCGCGUGGCGGAUGACGGCCUUUGGGUUGUAAACUCCUUUCGGCCGGGAAGAAGCUUUUUGUGACGGUACCUGUAUAAGAAGCACCGGCUAACUACGUG
rnacentral:rRNA from 1 species